UGAACGCUGGCGGCGUGCCUAAUACAUGCAAAUCGAGCGAACGGACGCGAAGCUUGCUUUUCUGAUGUUAGCGGCGGACGGGUGAGUAACACGUGGAUAACCUACCUAUAAGACUGGGAUAACUUCGGGAAACCGGAGCUAAUACCGGAUAAUAUUUUGAACCGCAUGGUUCAAAAGUGAAAGACGGUCUUGCUGUCACUUAUAGAUGGAUCCGCGCUGCAUUAGCUAGUUGGUAAGGUAACGGCUUACCAAGGCAACGAUGCAUAGCCGACCUGAGAGGGUGAUCGGCCACACUGGAACUGAGACACGGUCCAGACUCCUACGGGAGGCAGCAGUAGGGAAUCUUCCGCAAUGGGCGAAAGCCUGACGGAGCAACGCCGCGUGAGUGAUGAAGGUCUUCGGAUCGUAAAACUCUGUUAUUAGGGAAGAACAUAUGUGUAAGUAACUGUGCACAUCUUGACGGUACCUAAUCAGAAAGCCACGGCUAACUACGUG
rnacentral:rRNA from 1 species